UCUCUCUCUCUCUCUCUCUCUCUCUUUCUCUCUCUCUCUCUCUCUCUCACGGCGGCGACAUCUGCCCUCGCCCCUCUCGCUCGCCUAGCGGCGGCGCGACGCGGGGCCACGCGACGGCGGCGCCCGCACCAACGCGGCGGCGGAGGACCCCAUGGCCGCAGGCCCCCGGCGCCGCCCCCGGCCGGCGAGACCUCUCCCAUCUCCGCUCGGGCGUGGCGAGGCUGAGGCGCAACGGCCGGGCCUCGAACUCCUCUCUGCUCUCUGCUGUCCUAGGCCAUGGAGGUCGUGGUGGUGGUGUGGGCAGGCCCUGCGCUCGCAGCCGGCCUCCUUCCCCAUCACCUGAGAGCGCGGCGGUCGCAUCCCUCAUGGCGGGGCCAUGGCGGCGGGCCGGAUCUCUCGCGGCGGCGGCUGCUCCGUACCCUUCCUCUCCAUGGCGGAGACAUGCGCGGCACACGCGACUCCGGACGCUGCGCCGCGACUACAGCCAUCCUCGCCGCUCCCGACGGUCCGCGCGUGGGGAAUCCACGGCGGAGAUGGCAUCGGUCGUCACGGAAGGGGCCUGCUGCGGAUCCGCCGUCCCCUCCGCGGAUCCCCCAUGCGCGGCGCACGCGACUCCGGUUGCUGCGGCGGCUGCUGUCUCCUCCGCGGAUCCCCCAUGCGCGGCGCACGCGACUACCGCCAUCCCCGCCGCUCCCGAUAGCCCGUGCGCGACUCGCGCGGCGGGGGGCACGGGAGCAGCAGCGCAGGGACGACGGUGGACCCGCGGUGGCGCGCCCUUCCCCGCUGCGGAGGCGCUGAACUACCCAUCCCCUCCCUCGCCUCCCCUCCUUUUCCCCACCCUGCCUUCGGCGCUACAGGUCGCUGCGUCAGCGUCGAGCAGCGGCGGCAGUGAGCGCCAUACUUCCCCUCUCACGCCAGGCUCUCCCGACGGAGGGGCCGCGGCGGGAGGGUGACGCAGAUAUGCGGCUAGCCGGGCGGUGGCGUGAGAGGGGCCGUGCGGAUUACAUCAGGUCUCCAGGUGCUCGACCUCUCCUACAACCGCUUCGACGGGGGAUCCCCGGCUAGCUCUCCAACCUCACCCACCUCGUCGCGCUCAACCUCUCAACUACUCGCUCGCCGGCGCUCAAUGAGUAUGCUAAAUGAUGGGCGGGGACGAAGCUAGGGCUGGCGAAUUCACAUGUGCGGGAGCAAAUGAGAAAAGAUGGAAUUGUGCAAGAGCUAGGAAGCAAUUUCAGGUUGAUAGUGGUGAAAGAGGGCAGCAACCUCAAGGCAGGCGGCCAAGCGGCAACUCGGUCUCCAUCUCGGUUGGUCGCCAUAAUUUUUUGUUGAUAUCUCCUCUCCGUUAUUAUUCCCUGUCCAUGCCUCCCACUGGUACCUCAGAUGGCAGCUACCAGCGACGGUGGUGAGCUUGCCGACGCUUCGUGCCUGCCGCCGAUCAAGCCACAAAUUGUUUCAUGUGCCCAUCCGCCUGUUACCUUGAAAAUUAUGUUAUCUCUAUUGUCUCUCUAGGAUAUGGAAGGGUGAUUGCUUCCAUUUUACCUGCAAAAAUAGUUAAUCAUUCAUUAUUUUUUCUUGAACUUUAUUGGAGAACUUGACUGAUUGGUGGUGUCCAAUAAGAGUACUUUUUGCUCAGAUUAAUGAAGUAAAUUCCAUUCAAUUGCUGAUUGUUCCUGUUGAUAGUCUGCUGGCUAUAUUAGCAACUAACUAUUCCAUUUUAGUGACUCGUGCUUAAAAUUAUAUUUAACGAACUCCAGCAGCAGAUGUUGGAUAGUUAGCUUUCUUUGCUAGAAUUUUUCAAUGCACUAUUUUAUUUUUACUUCAUGGAUUCAUGAAUGUGGACUUAUCUUAAUGUGAUCUAAUAAGGAUCUUGUCUCUAGGCUAAGGAAACUAGACAUGAACAAAAAGGGCAGGUACUUUUUGGCUAAAACAAUAUUUCUGAAAUGUUCAUGCUUUGCAGUUUGAAAAUGAUGGCAAUUUUGUUGUAAGAUAUUUAUGCUCUUGUUCAUGUCAUAAUAGCAUCCAUUACAGUGCAGUGGCACCAAAAUGCUUAGCAUGGUAGAGUUUUGGAAGCAGUAACAUUGAUAGUUAAAAGGUUCGGAGAUUAUUUUAGGAAUCACUAGCAUUGCUAUAUUAGAAAAUUUGAACAUAUGAAAUAUGGAUUUACCUUUUGUACAAGGUUACAUGCUAGACGAGGAAGUGUAUUAAGUGGAACAUCUUGAAUGCAAGAACCUUGCUUUGCAUAUUUCGAGUAGAUUUCAAUAGCAUAAAUACUCUCAGGUUUCUUACUUAUGAAAGAUUGCAGUGGUCCAGUUACAAUGCAAUGCGAUGAACUAUUUGUGGUUUGUUCUUAACUCGCAGAUUCCCAAUGGUGCUCUUGCUGCCCAUGAAUUAAAGCUACAUAUUUUGCAGAGCAAGUUGUGCAUUGUUCUCCGUCAAUCCAUCAAAUUGGAUAGAUCAAAUAGUUCAGUCCAAUUUGGCAGCUUAUACUUUUAGUUGGUUAAUUAAUGUCGAGCUUGAGACUGAGAUCUCAAUCUCAGGUAAGAAAAUAUGCACCGGGACAGCUACAAAGUUAGAGAGCUUGUAUGCAUUUCUCUCAUUAGCUCAAGAACCCUGGGCCGUUCAAACUUUAUUCAGGAGGACUGGCAUGGAAGAAGCACGGGGGAGGAAAGAUCAUUGAGGUUGAUAAAGCUGAUAUCACAUCCAUGACAUGGAUGAGAAUUCCUAAAUCCUAUCAGCUUAGUGUUGGGACAAGGGAAGGGCUCUGUUACAGGUUCUUUGGCUUCUGUGAACAGGAUGUUAGCGUCCUGACUAACUUCAUACUAAAGAUCAUGGGAAUCACUCCAUUAGUGGGCAUAAUUGGGGUGGAAUUGCAAUAAAUGGGAAUAUGCUUUGCUUUAAUGUCAGUUCAAAGGAAGCAUUUCAAGUCUCUCUAGCAGAUGUGCCGGCAGAGUCAGAUGCAAGGGAAAACAGAUGUCAUCUUAGAUUUCCAUGUCAAUGAUACUACUGGAAAUAAUGAGCUGCUCAAGUCCUCACAUUGUGAUGCCCUAAAAAAAAAAGUCCUCACAUUGUGAUUCAGGACUCCUCCGCUAGGAGCUGAUCCACCAGCACCAAGAUGUGGACCGAUGCCGGCAAAAAGGAUCCAGUGGAGCAUGACCCUCUUCCAUCAAGUACCUACAGGAUGGGAAUGAGGUUGCUAAGAAGUCAUUUGUUACACCACCAAGGUUCUUUAGUGUUGACAAGGCGAGAGAACGCUUGCCUUCAGUGAAAAGGAUCUCUGUAAAUAUUUCAAUCCUGGAGACCAUGUAAAGGUCGUAUCCGGAGUUCAAGAAGGCGCAACAGGCAUGGUUGUUAAUGUGGAAGGGCGUAUUUUGAUCAUUUUAUCAGACACACACUACCAAAGGACAUAUCCGCAUGUUUGCAGAUCAUGUUGUGGAGAGUUCUGAGGUCACCAUAGGGAUUACAAGAAUAGGUGGAGAGGCUGGCAACUGGCGUUGGUCUUAUCUACCAGAUGUUUUGGUGAGCGUCUCCAGGGGAGGGGAUGAGGUCAGAAGACGAUAGAGACGAACUGAUUUUCACUGCAAUGAGGUAGAGUCGGUCAGGCCAAAGAAAAACGAGAAGCUCAAGAUAAUGAACGGGUCCAUGCGUGGAGUCACGGGGAAACUGAUUGGAGUUGAUGGGUCUGUUGGCAUCGUGAGAGUGGAAGGUAGCUUAGACGCGAAAAUAGUAGACAUGGUUAUUCUGGGCAAAGUGGCUGCUUGAGGUGCUGUACAGUCGAUAUUCUUAGUUGAAUAACCAAUCUAACUUAUCGUACUUUAGGCGAGCAGCGGUGCACACGGGGGAGGCAUGGCCAGCGAGCGGUGGAAAACCAUGCGGCAAGCCAGACAUCGCUUGUAGAAGCCCCAGGGAAGAAGGCAACUUCGCCUCCUACUCGGCGAGAGCUAUUUGGAGCGUUAUUCAGUUGGUUUGCAGCGAAUAGAAUGCAAUGCAUUAUUGAAAAAACAAUCGUGUUCGUAGCGAUAUCAUAUUUCGAACAUAUUUUUAUAAUUAUAUACUCAUACAUUUCAUUAUACACUAUCUUAUACAUACCAUUUACCUAUUUUUAUAA